rnacentral:rRNA from 1 species
CCUACGGGGGGCAGCAGUGGGGAAUAUUGGACAAUGGGGGGAACCCUGAUCCAACGACGCCGCGUGAGUGAAGAAGUAUCUCGGUAUGUAAAGCCCUAUCAGCAGGGAAAAAAGGAAUGACGGUACCUGACUAAGAAGCCCCGGCUAACUACGUGCCAGCAGCCGCGGUAAUACGUAAGGGGCAAGCGUUAUCCGGAUUUACUGGGUGUAAAGGGAGCGUAGACGGCUGAGCAAGUCUGAAGUGAAAGGCGGGGGCCCAACCCCCGGACUGCUUUGGAAACUGUAUAGCUAGAGUGCAGGAGAGG